rnacentral:rRNA from 1 species
GAUCCUCGCUCAGGACGAACGCUGGCGGCGUGCUUAACACAUGCAAGUCGAACGAAAAGAGGGAAAGAGCUUGCUCUUUCCGGAAUUGAGUGGCAAACGGGUGAGUAACACGUAAACAACCUGCCUUCAGGAUGGGGACAACAGACGGAAACGACUGCUAAUACCGAAUAAGUUCCAAGGGUCGCAUGAUCCAUGGAAGAAAAGGUGGCCUCUACCUGUAAGCUAUCGCCUGAAGAGGGGUUUGCGU